GACGUAGGGUGCAAGCGUUGUUCGGAAUUAUUGGGCGUAAAGAGCUCGUAGGCGGUCUGUCGCGUCUGCUGUGAAAACUCAGGGCUUAACCCUGAGCUUGCAGUGGGUACGGGCAGACUAGAGUGCGGUAGGGGAGACUGGAAUUCCUGGUGUAGCGGUGAAAUGCGCAGAUAUCAGGAGGAACACCGGUGGCGAAGGCGGGUCUCUGGGCCGUAACUGACGCUGAGGAGCGAAAGCAUGGGGAGCGAACAGG
rnacentral:rRNA from 1 species